AUUCUAACACAUGCUUCCUACCACAGGUGACGUUGAGUUAGUUCACUUUUGAGCCUUCUUACAGGACCCGUUUCUCAGAACUCGACCUCAGACACAGGGGAAGCAACCCCAGAUCGUCAACCAUGAGAAGACCAACCCCCAGUGCUCCUCACUACAAGGAGAGAGAAAAGUGUCUCCCUGGAUGGUCAGGCCCAGAGGCCCCUCCCUGAUGAGUCAAGAAGGAGUUACCUGCGAACAAGUCAAGGAAGAUGUUAGAACCAGAGGAGCAUCAGGACCUUGUGAUAAAAGAGCUCAGAGAAAUUAUAUAUGCACUGAAUAUGGAUGUCUGAGAGGUGGGGAAGAUUCCUUGGGGAGAUAAAUGGUUAAAGGAAUCGUAACAUCUUGUUCCGAAUGCUUCCUUUUAUCCGUUCCGUGUAGAUACGUACAAUGACCUGCAGGAAAAGAUGGCAGGUG
rnacentral:lncRNA from 1 species